UGUACUACACAUGCGACCACGUUGAUGACGGCGACUGCCAUGUAUGGAAGUGGUGGGACGUCGCCGUGAUGGAGGAGAUGAAGGCGAGGGAAAACCAGCUAUUUCUAUUAGAGGAAAAGGUAGAUAAUCUUAACUUAAUGUCUGACCUUGAGACAGAGGAGAAGCUAGUUAGACUAGAGAAGUUAGUUGAGGAGAAAUUAGCUAAGAAGAAAUCUACUGUUAUCGGUGGGGUUGAAGUAGUUAUUGGUGUAAUGCUCAUAGUUUUAGUUGUAAUAGGUCUGUUGAUCGCCUUUAAGUGAUGCAAGACGAUGGUUGCGAGACUUGGCUAUGUUAUGUAAUGUCGUAUUAUCAUCUUCAACUUUCCUCUACGUGUUAUCAGCUUUGUAUCAAUGCUAUUUUGUAAGUCGUGUUUUAGUACUUUUGAAUCAAUGCUAUUUUGUUUCUUUCCUCUACAAAUCCCGUGAUCUUUAUAAACCCCAUACCCGUGACCUUUAUAAAACUCCUUACCCGUGAAUUAUAAUCCAAAACAUCAUGAAAAUCCAAAACAUCACUCAUACCCGUGAAUCCACCCCGUGUAUAAUUUGAAAAGAAACACAACACGGGAAGACAUAUGGUUCUCUAUAAAUAUGAGAGAACGUUCGAUCAUUCAACAUAUACUCAUUUCAAUUCUCUAAAGCAAUUUCAUCUACUCAUUUCAACACUAUAAUUUUUUUUUCCCUAAAAAUGGCAUCUUCAUCUCAUUACCAUUACCACAAUAAUGAUGACAAUGAUGAUGAAUUUGAAUCAGUCUUUGAAGAUUUAUUAGAAAUCCCUGAUACUAUUCUGGAACCGAAAGAGCGGAAAAAACGUAUAUUUAUCGAGAGAGACCGGGAAGAAGGCCAUCGAAAGCUCUGGAAUGAUUAUUUUUCGGAAACUCCAACAUAUCCGCCCAAUAUAUUCCGGCGACGGUUUCGAAUGAGUAAGCCGUUGUUCAUGCGCAUUGUCCACCGUCUCUCUACGGAAGUUCACUAUUUUGCUCCUACACAAGAUGCACUUGGAAGGUCAAGUCUAUCACCGAUCCAAAAAUGCACGGCCGCAAUUCGUCAAUUAGCAUAUGGUGGUGGGGCCGAUACGGUAGACGAAUAUGUUCGACUUGGUGAAACAACAGCGCGGAAUUGCUUGCACCAAUUUACUGCCGCAAUUAUCGACUUGUUUGGCGAUGAAUACCUAAGACGUCCAACACCGGAGGAUCUUGAAAGACUACUACAUAAGGGAGAAGAACGUGGAUUUCCCGGGAUGAUUGGAAGCAUCGACUGUAUGCACUGGGAGUGGAAGAAUUGCCCUACCGCUUGGCAAGGUAUGUAUUCACGAGGAACCGAUAAACCAACGAUUGUCCUCGAGGCCGUAGCUUCUUAUGACCUCUGGAUAUGACAUGCAUUUUUUGGAGCUCCAGGUACUAUGAACGAUCUAAAUAUUCUUGAUCGAUCACCUGUUUUUGAUGACAUUAUUAACGGAGUUGCUCCGGAAGUCAACUUCCAUGUUAACGGAAGGGAGUACAAUUUGGCCUACUAUCUCACUGAUGGUAUUUAUCCAGAAUGGGCGACAUUUAUUCGAUCUAUCCGACUACCACAGGGUCCAAAACAUUCCCUAUUUGCUACAGCCCAAGAAUCAGUCCGAAAAGACGUUGAGCGUGCCUUUGGAGUCCUACAAGCUAGAUUCGCCGUUAUUAAAAAUCCAUCUAGUUUAUGGAAAAAAUCGAAGAUAGCCAAUAUUAUGAGAGCAUGUAUCAUACUCCAUAAUAUGAUUGUCGAAGAUGAACGACGUACAGACGAUCAAGAUGAGACGUUUCAAGAUCAGGAUGUUUCAUUUUGCGUUAAGAUGCCUACAGAGAUUUUUAGUUCACUUGAUCGUCGAGCAAGAGUUCGGGAUAGACCAGUCCAUCAACAAUUGAAACAUGAUUUGAUCGAACAUAUAUGGGAUAAAUUUGGACCUUAAAAUUAAAAUCGGUGACUUUUAUGUUAUUGUAAUUUUUUUUAACAGUAUCAGUAAUUUUUUUCCAACUUUGUAAUUUUUUUUUCUACUUUGUAAUUUUUUUUUUCAACUUUGUAAUAUUCAUAUGUUUAAUGUUAUAUGUUUUAUCAUAAAAUCCUACCAAACAAUUUACAAAAAAAACAAAAUUUAAUAUUUUGCUAAGAACCUACCAAAACUUCUACCAAUAAUCUUUACUUUUACUCAUGUAUCUUACCAAAAUCUCUUAAUCUAAUUAUAUUAUUAAAGUAAUACUAAGAUAUGCAAUUGCAUAUCUAGCAAUGCUGAUUCUACUGUCAUCGUUCAUUAACCUUGGCCAUCUAAUUGUUUUUGCAGGUUUAGUAUCUAUGGGAAGGUACAGCUACAGCCAACCUUCAAGCUCGGAUCCGUAUGGUGACAGGGCUGACAGUGGGUACAGCGAGACGGAGGAGUUAAUCCGUCGUGACCAAGCUGAAAUAAGCUUGAAUUAUGGUGAAGUGGCUACGUAUCCUCCGCAACCCGAGGUGGAGUUCGGUUUCCCACACACUUGUUACUGUGGUGGCCAACCACGUUUAGCAACAUCAAGAACAAGCACCGAUCCAGGGAGACUGUACUACACAUGCGACCACGUUGAUGACGGCGACUGCCAUGUAUGGAAGUGGUGGGACGUCGCCGUGAUGGAGGAGAUGAAGGCGAGGGAAAACCAGCUAUUUCUAUUAGAGGAAAAGGUAGAUAAUCUUAACUUAAUGUCUGACCUUGAGACAGAGGAGAAGCUAGUUAGACUAGAGAAGUUAGUUGAGGAGAAAUUAGCUAAGAAGAAAUCUACUGUUAUCGGUGGGGUUGAAGUAGUUAUUGGUGUAAUGCUCAUAGUUUUAGUUGUAAUAGGUCUGUUGAUCGCCUUUAAGUGAUGCAAGAC
rnacentral:lncRNA from 1 species